CGUUAGCGGCGGACGGGUGAGUAACACGUGGGUGACCUACCUAUAAGACUGGGAUAACUUCGGGAAACCGGAGCUAAUACCGGAUAAUAUUUCGAACCGCAUGGUUCGAUAGUGAAAGAUGGUUUUGCUAUCACUUAUAGAUGGACCCGCGCCGUAUUAGCUAGUUGGUAAGGUAACGGCUUACCAAGGCGACGAUACGUAGCCGACCUGAGAGGGUGAUCGGCCACACUGGAACUGAGACACGGUCCAGACUCCUACGGGAGGCAGCAGUU
rnacentral:rRNA from 1 species